rnacentral:rRNA from 1 species
AUUGAACGCUGGCGGCAGGCCUAACACAUGCAAGUCGAGCGAGCGGCGGACGGGUGAGUAAUGUAUGGGGAACUGCCCGAUAGAGGGGGAUAACUACUGGAAACGGUGGCUAAUACCGCAUACUAUCGGAUGUGCCCAUAUGGGAUUAGCUAGUAGGUGGGGUAAAGGCUCACCUAGGCGACGAUCCCUAGCUGGUCUGAGAGGAUGAUCAGCCACACUGGGACUGAGACACGGCCCAGACUCCUACGGGAGGCAGCAGUGGGGAAUAUUGCACAAUGGGCGCAAGCCUGAUGCAGCCAUGCCGCGUGUAUGAAGAAGGCCUUAGGGUUGUAAAGUACUUUCAGCGGGGAGGCGUUACCCGCAGAAGAAGCACCGGCUAACUCCGUGCCAGCCGCCGCGGUAAUAC